CAAGAGACAAGGAAAGGCUUCAAGUUAUGUUUUCCUUUAUAUUAAUAAAUAAAUUUGAAAUUGAAUUAAAAAGAUGAACAUUGAAUUGCUACAUAUUAGUUUUCAUUUUAUUCAAAGGACCUAUUUUAUGAAAAAAUGGGCAAACUGGACUGGUUAUAGUGAGCAAUUAUUAAUGUACUGGGAACAUUUGUUAUUAACUUUACAUUUGUAACUUUAAGUUACCAAGCUCCCUAAAGGUUCAAGAAUUUCAACAGAAGCUAUAGUUCACCUGUAUAUUGGAACGGUCUCUUGCUUUAGGAAAGAAAAUGGAGUAAAGCUCUUCUCAAAGUACUGGGGAUUGAAGCCAGGAGCUUUGCACUGAGCUACACCACCAAUCCUUUUUAACGUUGCUGUAGCCCAGGCUGAGCUCAAACUUGUGAUCCUCCUGCUUCAGCCUCUCAGAGUGCUAGAAUUAGAGGAGGCACCUCUGUCAUUUACCUGACAAAACUGUUUUCGUCCCUUAAAUCUCAAUCCAGAAAUCUACUCUGACUCACUCAGGAAAAUCAUAUAAGUGGCAAAUGGAAGCUAGUUUUACAGCAAGAAAAAAAAAAGGAAAGUGUUAUUGGAACAUGUCUCCAUGUUGCUUUGGUGAGAAUUGCCAUUGUGUAGAGUUGUUCCUGCUCCAGGAGUACCACUUAAUCAACACCCAAAUGACCUCCCAGGAGUGGGAUGAAGUAGAGAAAAAAUUCAGAAUUUCAGAAAAAUGGAGCUCUACAGUUUCCAUGUCUGCGGGGUCUAAACUGAGAAACAAGCCUGAAUAGCAAAUCUUUUGAUGGGAUCAGAAUUGCUUUGCCCUCGCCUCCUAAUACCAAGGCUCCUAGGUCAAGCUGGUCAUGCCUGAAUACCUACAGCUUCAAGAUCAGUCCUCUCUCAGAUGAUUUUCAUUCCUUGUGCAAAUGCAAUUUGUAGCCAAAGCCACCAUUUCACCAGGAAAACUCAAACACAUAUGCAUUCCAUUAAUAUGAACAGCUCAUCCAAAAAUGGGGCCCUCUCACUCCAUCUAACCCCCUUCAAUUAAAGUCCUAAGAUUUUUAGAAAUGUCUGUAUUUACUUUGGAUCAUCCCAAGGACAGCAUGGAAAUCGAAGAACAUCUUGGGAAUGUGACUAUUUCCAAUCACACAGUCUGUCAUCCUGGACAUUCAACCAGCUCAGAACAUGUAGCCCUC
rnacentral:lncRNA from 1 species